rnacentral:rRNA from 1 species
AGACCCGAAACCCGGUGAUCUAGCCAUGGGCAGGUUGAAGGUUGGGUAACACUAACUGGAGGACCGAACCGACUAAUGUUGAAAAAUUAGCGGAUGACCUGUGGCUGGGGGUGAAAGGCCAAUCAAACCGGGAGAUAGCUGGUUCUCCCCGAAAGCUAUUUAGGUAGCGCCUCGUGAAUUCAUCUCCGGGGGUAGAGCACUGUUUCGGCUAGGGGGCCAUCCCGGCUUACCAACCCGAUGCAAACUGCGAAUACCGGAGAAUGUUAUCACGGGAGACACACGGCGGGUGCUAACGUCCGUCGUGAAGAGGGAAACAACCCAGACCGCCAGCUAAGGUCCCAAAGUCAUGGUUAAGUGGGAAACGAUGUGGGAAGGCCCAGACAGCCAGGAUGUUGGCUUAGAAGCAGCCAUCAUUUAAAGAAAGCGUAAUAGCUCACUGGUCGAGUCGGCCUGCGCGGAAGAUGUAACGGGGCUAAACCAUGCACCGAAGCUGCGGCAGCGACGCUGAUGCGUUGUUGGGUAGGGGAGCGUUCUGUAAGCCUGUGAAGGUGGCCUGUGAGGGUUGCUGGAGGUAUCAGAAGUGCGAAUGCUGACAUAAGUAACGAUAAAGCGGGUGAAAAGCCCGCUCGCCGGAAGACCAAGGGUUCCUGUCCAACGUUAAUCGGGGCAGGGUGAGUCGACCCCUAAGGCGAGGCCGAAAGGCGUAGUCGAUGGGAAACGGGUUAAUAUUCCCGUACUUGGUGUUACUGCGAAGGGGGGACGGAGAAGGCUAUGUUGGCCGGGCGACGGUUGUCCCGG